UACAGAGGGGGCAAGCGUUAUUCGGAAUUAUUGGGCGUAAAGGGCGCGUAGGCGGCUUUGCAAGUGACGGGUGAAAUCCCUCGGCUUAACCGAGGAACUGCCUGUCAAACUGCAUGGCUUGAGACCGGGAGAGGUGAGUGGAAUUCCCAGUGUAGCGGUGAAAUGCGUAGAUAUCAGGAGGAACACCGGUGGCGAAGGCGGGUCUCUGGGCCGAUACUGACGCUGAGGAGCGAAAGCGUGGGGAGCGAACAGG
rnacentral:rRNA from 1 species